UACAGAGGGUGCAAGCGUUGUCCGGAUUUAUUGGGCGUAAAGAGUUCGUAGGCGACUGGUAAAGUCACUUUUCAAAGACCGGAGCUCAACUUCGGGAAGGGGGGUGAUACUUAUCAGAUUGAAAAGUUCCGGGGCUACUGGAACUUACGGUGUAGGAGUGAAAUCCGUUGAUAUCGUAAGGAACACCAAGGGCGAAGGCGGGUAGCUAGGAACAUUUUGACGCUGAGGAACGAAAGCUAGGGGAGCGAAA
rnacentral:rRNA from 1 species